GAACGAUUCCUUUAUUUUUUUACUUUUUCCAUUUAAUUUUUAAUUUGUUUCUUUUUGUUUGUGUUCCAUUUCCUGAUCAAUUCCGCAUUGGAACCAUCCUAAUCAAGCGCUAGGGUUUUGUUUCAAUCCCCCUCUCGGGGGUUUCCCCAAAAAAAUCCCAUUUUUAACCCUAAAAGGCUCAAUUUUUUCUCAGUUGGAGUUAUAAAUAUUAGCUUUUGGUUUUUUCUACAUCAAUGUUGGAUUUUGGGUGCAUUCCUGUAUAAUUUGAUGCUCUUGUGCUUAAAUUUGCUUUGAGUUUGUUGUACUAAAGGUGCAUAUCCAUGGAAGCAUUGUAAUGUAUGCUUAGCCUUAAUAAUUUCUUAGAGUUGAUUUCAGCGUCCGUAUUAAGGGUCUGUUUGAUCUUGCUGCACGAUACCGUACUGUUUGAUAAAGUGUUGUCUGAAUAGUGCGAUCAGUAAAAAUGUUAUAUUUAUACGCCACCAACACUACUUUUGACGGUCAGAAUCUCAUUUCUGCUUCCUGAUGCAGUAAAAGUUUUAGACUUUUCUCUUUGCAGAGUGUUCUAGAAGAGGUUGCUAUUGCUGAAAGUGGAAGUAGAAGCUUCGGCCGCACAGGCACUAAAGGCUUAUGUCAGAACUUAAUUCGCGCAAUCAGCUCCUUAUUGGGCAUUCUUACCAUCUUAAAUGCAAGGAUAUGUAAUAUUUAGUUGAUUGCACGUAGUUAUAGUUUUGCCCUUAGAGUCCAUUGUCGAACAUUUGUAUCUCUCGCUAAUCAUGAGAUUGUGAAAUUGUGAUAUAUAUACUGUUUGCUUCUAUGUCGUAAGCUUACAUUCAAAGAUUUCUCCCCAGUGCACUUCAUGCUAGAGUCUAAUAAGUUCAUGCUGAAAAGUUUAACAUGUGAAGAACUUGCAGCGUAAUUUGUUCUCUGUCCCUUCAGAUUAGCUCUAUUCUUACAGAUGAAAAUCAGUGGGUGAUAUUAUUCAAUUUGUCUACUUCUGAGGGUUUCUCUUUUCUUUGUUUUUCUGUGUAAUAACUUCCCUUUUGCAUUGUUUAAUGAACAGAUUGACUCGGCCAACUUGCAUGCUUUUGAGGUAUUAUCUUUUACUUGGGCUAAGAGGCUAAGCACAAAAUGCGAGAUGGGCUCCCGUCUGAAGCUGUCUGGCAUGCAAAAGCAGGUUUUGGGCCUGUACAGAGGAUUCCUGCGGGCAGCUCGAUUGAAGGCCGCGGAGGAGCGUCGUGCGAUUGAGUCGGUUGUUUCGACCGAGUUCCGCCACAACGCGAAGAACGUUGAUCGCAAGAAUUUUAUUUACAUUGAGUACUUGCUGAGACGCGGAAAGAAGCAACUUGAGCAACUCAAGAAUCCUGAUACCACUGGCUUAUUGACCCUUAAAGCCUCUUCAUCUGCCGCAGCAAGUUCGCAAUCUGAUGCUGGAACUUCUGUCCCUUCUCAUGAUCAAUGGGAUGUUGAUGAAUCAAACGAUAACAUUACAGCGAGUCGAUCAUGAUCACAUAUGCCCCCCUUCCUUUACAGAGAACUUAAGAUUGGGAAAAAUUUUGAAUAGAAAUUUGUUGAGAUCUCCAACAUGGUGAAUUCUGUUAUUACUAGUAGCCACCAGAAACCGUGCAGUGUUGAAAUUCACAUCACCAACAUAGUUUUCGAGAAUAAGACAGAUACCAGAUAUAUCUGCUUUUACUCCUGAGGUUCAAUUCAACUCUCUUAUAUUAGUUGCUGUAACAUGACUUCUUGAGCUCAGCAAUCCGUGGGUCGAGUUAUAUGAUUAUAAUCACAUCUUUAGCCCAAACAUGUUGUUCCAAGCAACAAAGCUGCAUGCUUGAAAGCACUUGGUGGGGGCCCAAUUCUCCACCUCAGCUUUCUCCAGAUCUUUGUCGGCCACAUGUCGAUUUCGAGCCGCCAGGUGGAGUCGCCUGAUUGGUUCCUUCGUGUCGCUGUGUUUGCUUGUAAUUGGGUGGAGAGUGUAAAAAAAAAAAAAAAAAUCCCAUUUUUGCUGGAUAGAGCUAGAAUAUGGUCUAAAUUAUGCCAAAUUAUAUAUGAAUUUGUAUAAUUUGAAUU